GACGAAUGCUGGCGGCGUGCUUAACACAUGCAAGUCGAGCGGUAAGGCCCUUUCGGGGGUACACGAGCGGCGAACGGGUGAGUAACACGUGGGUGACCUGCCCUCAGCUCUGGGAUAAGCCUGGGAAACCGGGUCUAAUACCGGAUAUGACUCCAUGACGCAUGUUGUGGGGUGGAAAGCCUUGUGCGGCUGAGGAUGGGCCCGCGGCCUAUCAGCUUGUUGGUGGGGUGAUGGCCUACCAAGGCGACGACGGGUGGCCGGCCUGAGAGGGCGACCGGCCACACUGGGACUGAGACACGGCCCAGACUCCUACGGGAGGCAGCAGUAAGGAAUAUUGGUCAAUGGACGCAAGUCUGAACCAGCCAUGCCGCGUGGAGGAUGAAGGUCCUCUGGAUUGUAAACUUCUUUAUAUGGGACGAAAAGGCUUUUCUAAGUCAACUGACGGUACCAUAUGAAUAAGCACCGGCUAACUCCGUGCCAGCCG
rnacentral:rRNA from 1 species